rnacentral:sRNA from 14 species
AGUUCUCAUAUCUGGGAAAGGUAAGAACCUUCGACAAGGUUCGCGCCGAGCGUAGAAUGCAGUGACGAGUCCUUUCCUCACCACUG